UACGUAGGCAGCGAGCGUUGUUCGGAGUUACUGGGCGUAAAGAGUGCGUAGGCGGUUUUCUAAGUCUGGUGUGAAAUCUCCCGGCUUAACUGGGAGGGUGCGCCGAAGACUGGAAGGCUUGAGUAUGGGAGAGGUAAGCGGAAUUCCUGGUGUAGCGGUGAAAUGCGUAGAUAUCAGGAGGAACACCUGCGGUGUAGACGGCUUACUGGACCAUCACUGACGCUGAGGCACGAAAGCGUGGGUAGCAAACAGG
rnacentral:rRNA from 1 species